rnacentral:rRNA from 1 species
UUAACACAUGCAAGUUGAACGGAUUAAUUUAGGGCUUGCUCUGAAUUAGUUAGUAGCAAACGGGUGAGUAACACGUGGGAAUCUACCCAUCAGUACGGAAUAACAUUUAGAAAUAGAUGCUAAUACCGUAUAUUCUCUUCGGAGGAAAGAUUUAUCGCUGAUGGAUGAGCCCGCGUCAGAUUAGGUAGUUGGUAGGGUAAUGGCCUACCAAGCCAACGAUCUGUAGCUGGUCUGAGAGGAUGAUCAGCCACACUGGGACUGAGACACGGCCCAGACUCCUACGGGAGGCAGCAGUGGGGAAUAUUGGACAAUGGGCGAAAGCCUGAUCCAGCAAUACCGAGUGGGUGACGAAGGCCUUAGGGUUGUAAAGCCCUUUUCAAUAGGGAAGAUAAUGACGGUACCUAUAA